rnacentral:tRNA from 2 species
GGGCGAUUAGUAGAACGGCAAGCACGUCUGGUUUACACCCAGAAGACGGGGGUUCGACUCCCUCAUCGCCCA